UGGGGAAUAUUGGACAAUGGGCGCAAGCCUGAUCCAGCAAUACCGCGUGUGUGAAGAAGGCCUUAGGGUUGUAAAGCACUUUCAAUAGGGAGGAAAAAGAUAAACCUAAUACGUUUAUCCUUGACAUUACCUAUACAAGAAGCACCGGCUAACUCCGUGCCAGCAGCCGCGGUAAUACGGAGGGUGCAAGCGUUAAUCGGAAUUACUGGGCGUAAAGCGUGCGUAGGUGGCUUGUUAAGUCAGAUGUGAAAGCCCCGGGCUUAACCUGGGAACUGCAUUUGAAACUGGCAAGCUAGAGUUGAGUAGAGGGGAGUGGAAUUUCAGGUGUAGCGGUGAAAUGCGUAGAUAUCUGAAGGAACACCAGUGGCGAAGGCGACUCCCUGGACUCAAACUGACGCUGAGGCACGAAAGCGUGGGUAGCAAACA
rnacentral:rRNA from 1 species